ACGGGGUGCAGCAGGCGCGAAACCUUUGCAAUGUGCGAAAGCACGACAAGGUUAAUCCGAGUGUCUCCUGCUAAAGGAGUCUUUUGUCAGUUGUAGAAUCACUGAUGAAUAAGGGGUGGGCAAGUUCUGGUGUCAGCCGCCGCGGUAAAACCAGCACCUCGAGUGGUCAGGAGGUUUAUUGGGCCUAAAGCAUCCGUAGCCGGUUGCAUAAGUUUUCGGUUAAAUCUAUGCGCUCAACGUAUAGGCCGCCGAAAAUACUGUGCAGCUAGGGAGUGGGAGAGGUACACGGUACUCAAUAGGAAGGGGUAAAAUCCUUUGAUCUAUUGAUGACCACCUGUGGCGAAGGCGGUGUACCAGAACACGUUCGACGGUGAGGGAUGAAAGCUGGGGGAGCAAACCGGAUUAGAUACCCGGGUAGUCCCAGCCGUAAACGAUGCAGACUCGGUGAUGCAUUGGCUUGUGGCCAAUGCAGUGC
rnacentral:rRNA from 2 species